CAUAACACAUCUGGGGGCAAAUAUAAUGAACAUGCGAAUCAAUAGCACCAGCAGUGAAGAUCAAGCCCUCGCCUGCCAAUGCCUCAGUGCCAGCACCCACAGUCAUACCAGGAGUAACAUUGUCCAUCAUAUCAGGAUUGCCUGAUUUGCCAAUACCAACAAUAAUGCCCUUUUUAAUUCCAAUAUCAGCCUUGUAAAUACCAGUGUAGUCGAAAAUCAUGGCGUUUGUAAUGACCAGAUCCAGAACCUCAUUGUCGCAAGCAUCUGUUGCUUGGCCCAUACCUUCUCUCAG
rnacentral:sRNA from 1 species